rnacentral:rRNA from 1 species
GACGAACCGUACGAACGUUAUUCGGAAUCACUGGGCUUAAAGGGUGCGUAGGCGGCGGCGCAAGUUGGGUGUGAAAUCCCUCGGCUCAACCGAGGAACUGCGCUCAAAACUGCGUUGCUUGAGGGAGAUAGAGGUGAGUGGAACUUAGGGUGGAGCGGUGAAAUGCGUUGAUAUCGUCUGGAACGCCGAAGGUGAAAACAGCUCGCUGGGGUUGUGCUGACGCUGAGACACGAAAGCCAGGGGAGCGAACGGG